GUGGGGAAUCUUCCGCAAUGGACGAAAGUCUGACGGAGCGACGCCGCGUGAGGGAAGACGGCCUUCGGGUUGUAAACCUCUUUUGUACGGGAAGAAGGAAGUGACGGUACUGUACGAAUAAGUCCCGGCUAACUACGUGCCAGCAGCCGCGGUAAUACGUAGGGGACGAGCGUUGUCCGGAAUUACUGGGCGUAAAGGGCGCGCAGGCUGGGCUGCAAGUCAGCUGUGAAAUGUCUGGGCUUAACCCGCGCAUGCGGUUGAGACUGCAGUGCUGGAGUGCUGUAGAGGCAAGUGGAAUUCCCAGUGUAGCGGUGAAAUGCGUAGAUAUUGGGAAGAACACCGGUGGCGAAGGCGACUUGCUGGGCAGCAACUGACGCUGAGGCGCGAAAGCCAGGGGAGCAAACGGGAUUAGAAACCCGAGUAGUCC
rnacentral:rRNA from 1 species